UACGUAGGGUGCGAGCGUUGUCCGGAAUUAUUGGGCGUAAAGCGCUCGUAGGCGGUUUGUUGCGUCGGCCGUGAAAACCUGCAGCUUAACUGUGGGCCUGCGGCCGAUACGGGCAGACUUGAGUUCGGUAGGGGAGACUGGAAUUCCUGGUGUAGCGGUGAAAUGCGUAGAUAUCAGGAGGAACACCUGCGGUGUAGACGGCUUACUGGACCAUAACUGACGCUGAGGCACGAAAGCGUGGGUAGCAAACAGG
rnacentral:rRNA from 1 species